rnacentral:rRNA from 1 species
AUUGAACGCUGGCGGCAUGCCUUACACAUGCAAGUCGAACGGCAGCGGACCUUCGGGUGCCGGCGAGUGGCGAACGGGUGAGUAAUAUAUCGGAACGUACCUUUCAGUGGGGGAUAACGUAGCGAAAGUUACGCUAAUACCGCAUAUUCUGUGAGCAGGAAAGCAGGGGAUCGCAAGACCUUGCGCUGAUUGAGCGGCCGAUAUCAGAUUAGCUAGUUGGUGAGGUAAAGGCUCACCAAGGCGACGAUCUGUAGCGGGUCUGAGAGGAUGAUCCGCCACACUGGAACUGAGACACGGUCCAGACUCCUACGGGAGGCAGCAGUGGGGAAUUUUGGACAAUGGGCGCAAGCCUGAUCCAGCCAUGCCGCGUGAGUGAAGAAAGCCUUCGGGUUGUAAAGCUCUUUCGGCCGGGAAGAAAUCGCACAGGUUAAUACCCUGUGUGGAUGACGGUACCGGAAUAAGAAGCACGGCUAACUACGUGCCAG